rnacentral:rRNA from 1 species
UCCCCUCCUCUUGCGGAGUGGAGGAAACUUAAUCCAACAUCGAGGUCGCAAACAUAUUUGUCAAUUUGGACUUUCAAAAUAUAUUACGCUGUUAUCCCUAAAGUAACUUAUUUAAUUUUCAAAAAUUUUGGGUAUUAAAAAUAAUGUCAUUUUUAUAUUUUGAAAGUGUUUUAUCUUCCUACCGCCCCAGUAAAACAUAUUUUCAAUCUGUUAAAUUAUUUUAUGUAAAGCUUUAUAGGGUCUUCUUGUCUAAAAGAAACAUUUUAGCCUUUUUACUAAAAAGUAAAGUUCAAAAGAAAGAGCCAAGAAAGAAACUCUCUAGUUUAUCCUUUCAUUCCAGUCUUAAAUUACAAGACUA